rnacentral:lncRNA from 1 species
AUAAAAAUUCAGUUUCCCAUUCUGCCAAAAUCUUUUUUCGCGUGAGAACUUCUUCCCCGUCCUUUUCCUCCAGAACCCCCAAACCUAACCACUGUCAAAUUUUUGUGAAAUUUCACUUCAAUGUCUUUGUGUUAGCUCUCGUUUUUUUCUUGAAAUUUGACUUCCCCAUUUCGAUUUUUCCAUUCCUUCUUCCUCUCGUGUCUUGGGGGUUCCCAACCACAGCUGCAACAUUCCUCUUCGAAGCCAAGCGAAGCCAACGUUGAGGUGGUUCUCGCAUUCCUGGUCUUCAGGUGGUUGAGAGCACCCCAUUGACGUUCUCGAUCGUAGGGUUGGUGGCGGUUGGAGUUGCGUUGAGGGAUUUAUGAGCAAGUUGGUGUUGCCGUUGAGCUGAUUCGUGGACGCCAAAUUCUGUUGUUUUUCCCGCUGUCNUCGUGUAGGGAGGUUGUUGGCGCUGNCGUGGUGCAUUUAGGGAUUUCUGCAAGGUUAGUGUUCUACUGUGUUCGUGUCAAUGGGUUUUUGCUGAGUCUAUAGAUACGUAACUUUUAAAAUGAAGUUGUUGUGCUCAAACUCAAUUUACCUAAUUUUGUUCACUUUUUUCUUUUUUUAUUUUGAUCAUGUAUUUGAGCAUGCAUCGAAGCCUUUGAUGUUUCAAGGAUCAUAGACAAUUUGAUUGAGGAUAGUUGUAUUCUGGAGAGCAUAGUCAAUAAACAGAAGUCACCCUCAUGAGUUAUAUUAGGUGACUUAUGAUAGAGAUCAUUGGGUUUCUUGAGUUCUUAGCCAACUUUAUAAUCAAAUUUGAAACUUUAGAACCAAAAUGGGAGAGGGAUGAAAGUAUCUGAGGUGUUUAUUUGAUAUNUGUUGAAGUCAAAUUAAGGAGUGGAGUCAAUAAGACUUUUUAGGGGUGUUCUUUAAUUUUCAUGCUCGUUGGUUCUGACCAGAUGUAUG